rnacentral:rRNA from 1 species
CAGCCGCGCGGGAACACGGAGGGUGCAAGCGUUAAUCGGAAUUACUGGGCGUAAAGCGCACGCAGGCGGUUUGUUAAGUCAGAUGUGAAAUCCCCGAGCUUAACUUGGGAACUGCAUUUGAAACUGGCAAGCUAGAGUCUUGUAGAGGGGGGUAGAAUUCCAGGUGUAGCGGUGAAAUGCGUAGAGAUCUGGAGGAAUACCGGUGGCGAAGGCGGCCCCCUGGACAAAGACUGACGCUCAGGUGCGAAAGCGUGGGGAGCAAACAGGAUUAGAUACCCCGGUAGUCCCUGUCUCUUAUACC